GGUCGAAUGCCCGAGUGGUUAUGGGGCUGGCUUCAAGAUCUAUUCGUAGCAAUCUUGGCCAUUUGCUUGGCUUUGUCUAAACAACUCCAGUUUUUCCAGGGUUCGAAUCCCUGUUCGACCA